UUGGAUUGAAGGAAUGGUUUUUUUCGGGGUUUGUUUAUCAACUACAUGUAAAUAAAUGAGCAGGCCUUGAUUAAGUUGAUUAUAUAGAUAUUAUUUACACAUUGUCAUUAUCCCUAGGCCAUUCAAUCAAACAGUACUAUUUUUUUUUAUUCGGCUCAACAUUUUCUCAACGAAACUGAUUCGUGUCGAUUGGAAUAAUGCCUCAUCUUCCAUCUGAAAUGGCUAAAAAACGAAGCAGGUCUCCAGAUACCGGUAGUAACAUUAUGGAUCAGCCCCCAAUAAAACGAGUUAAGCUCUUCGGAGAUCUGGAAGUAGAGAAGAGGUCUUUCGCAUGGCUACCUGAGAAAGCCGAAUUAAAAUUAGGACAUUGGGAUAAAUAUAUAUAUUAUAAAAUGACACACUCUUUGGAUAAGAAAAUUGAUUUGACACCUAAAUUGGGUUAACAGGUUAAUGAAUUACCAUUCUUUGGCGUUUGCAGUGUUUAUGGUUAAAAAGUUAAUAUCAUCGAUGGAACUCAAGGCAAGCGGUACAUCUAAGACUGGAGUAUUUUUGAUUCGUCUCAAACUGGCGGAAAAAUUGAAUACUUUUUGCCAUCAAAAUGGAAUUAGAACAUAUAUAAUGAUACAGUCUUUGGAUAAGGAAAUGAGAUUUGGCACCCAAACUGGGCUGACGGGUUUCCAAUUGUUCGUUUUCUUGGUUAUAUAUCAUUAUCAUUAGUAUCAUGGUGAUACCUUGGACCGGAGUGCGUUUUCGACAAGUGCGGAGUGUCCUUCUUGAGGACGGGAGUAUUAGCGACAUGGUCAACUGGCACAUGCCAUUCCCAGCGGCACGCUCCAGGGGCAUCAAUAUUCCCGACGCUGGACGGGCAUGGCCACCUCCGGAGGGGCAUGGCAGUCGCAGGACCACCGAGGCUCCCAAGACACACAGAUGCACUGGGGGAAAAGAGGCCACCGCAGCGGUUCCAGGCCAAUUCAAGAGGUAAAUGACAGUGCCACAAGUUCGAACUUUAAGUCCAGUUGUUCUUCAGUUCCACUUAUAAAUUGGCAUUAUG